AACGAACGCUGGCGGCAUGCCUAACACAUGCAAGUCGAACGCCCUCUUCGGAGGGAGUGGCGCACGGGCGCGUAACGCGUGGGAACCUGCCCUUAGGUUCGGAAUAACUCAGAGAAAUUUGAGCUAAUACCGGAUAAUGUCUUCGGACCAAAGAUUUAUCGCCUUUGGAUGGGCCCGCGUUGGAUUAGCUAGUUGGUGGGGUAAAGGCCUACCAAGGCGACGAUCCAUAGCUGGUCUGAGAGGAUGAUCAGCCACACUGGGACUGAGACACGGCCCAGACUCCUACGGGAGGCAGCAGUGGGGAAUAUUGGACAAUGGGCGAAAGCCUGAUCCAGCAAUGCCGCGUGAGUGAUGAAGGCCUUAGGGUUGUAAAGCUCUUUUACCCGAGAUGAUAAUGACAGUAUCGGGAGAAUAAGCUCCGGCUAACUCCGUGCCAGCAGCCGCGGUAAUACGGAGGGAGCUAGCGUUGUUCGGAAUUACUGGGCGUAAAGCGCACGUAGGCGGCUUAUUAAGUCAGAGGUGAAAUCCCGGGGCUCAACCCCGGAACUGCCUUUGAAACUGGUAAGCUAGAAUCCUGGAGAGGCGAGUGGAAUUCCGAGUGUAGAGGUGAAAUUCGUAG
rnacentral:rRNA from 1 species